rnacentral:rRNA from 1 species
UACGUAGGGGGCAAGCGUUGUCCGGAUUUAUUGGGCGUAAAGCGCUCGCAGGUGGCCCGAUGCGUCGUGCGUGAAAGACCCCGGCUCAACUGGGGGGUGUCGUGCGAUACGGUCGGGCUGGAGGCCAGUAGGGGGAUGCGGAAUUCCGGGUGUAGUGGUGGAAUGCGUAGAGAUCCGGAGGAACACCAGCGGCGAAGGCGGCAUCCUGGACUGGUCCUGACACUCAUGAGCGAAAGCGUGGGGAGCAAACAGG